rnacentral:rRNA from 1 species
CCCUUAGAUGUCCUGGGCCGCACGCGCGCUACACUGAUGCAUGCAACGAGUUUAUAACCUUGGCCUGAAAGGUCUGGGUAAUCUUUUGAACGUGCAUCGUGAUAGGGAUAGAUUAUUGCAAUUGUUAAUCUUGAACGAGGAAUUCCUAGUAAACGCGAGUCAUCAGCUCGCAUUGAUUACGUCCCUGCCCUUUGUACACUCCGCCCGUCGCACCUACCGAUUGAAUGGUUCGGUGAAGAUCUCGGACUUCGAUAUUUAUUCUUUAUUGAGUUUAUAUUGUGGGAAGUUAUCUAAACCUCAUCAUUUAGAGGAAGGUGAAGUCGUAACA